rnacentral:rRNA from 1 species
UACGAAGGGGGCUAGCGUUGUUCGGAAUUACUGGGCGUAAAGGGCGCGUAGGCGGUGUGUCAAGUCAGGCGUGAAAGCCCCGGGCUCAACCUGGGAACAGCGCUUGAGACUGGCACGCUCGAGUUCGGGAGAGGAUGGUGGAAUUCCCAGUGUAGAGGUGAAAAUGCGUAGAUAUCUGGAGGAAUACCGGUGGCGAAGGCGGCAUCCUGGACCGGCAUUGACGCUGAGGAGCGAAAAGCUAGGGGGAGCAAACGGG